AGCUCCAAUAGCGUAUAUUAAAGUUGUUGCAGUUAAAAAGCUCGUAGUUGAACCUUGGGUUUGGAUAACCGGUCCGCCUCACCGCGUGCACUGGGAAUCCGGACCUUUCCUUCUGGCAAACCUCAUGCCCUUCACUGGGUGUGCUGGGGAACCAGGACUUUUACUUUGAAAAAAUUAGAGUGUUCAAAGCAGGCAUUUGCUCGAAUACAUUAGCAUGGAAUAAUAGAAUAGGACGUGCGGUUCUAUUUUGUUGGUUUCUAGGACCGCCGUAAUGAUUAAUAGGGACAGUCGGGGGCAUCAGUAUUCAAUUGUCAGAGGUGAAAUUCUUGGAUUUAUUGAAGACUAACUACUGCGAAAGCAUUUGCCAAGGAUGUUUUCA
rnacentral:rRNA from 1 species